AUCGCUUCUCGGCCUUUUGGCUAAGAUCAAGUGUAGUACCUGUGCUCUGUGGCCUUUGGGAAAAAGCACAGGCUGGGGAAUCAAGAAAUAGGAUUUAGGCCCUGCUCAGCCUGGAUCAGGGAUCAGAGAGCAAGGAGUUACAGGAUCAGUAUUCUGUAGCAUUAAGGCUAUUUUUUAAGCCAGUAAGCCUUA